rnacentral:lncRNA from 1 species
UAUGCCAUUGAUCGAUAUUCCCUCGGUAAGAGAUGACAGUUGAGGGACUGGAGAUUCUUGAGGAUUGUGGGAUUAGGGUAAUGAACGUUGAUGCUUCUCAUAGGAAAAGUGCAUUAAGUAAAUUCUAGAGUCAAGGCGAUGACGAGUGUAAAGAAGAGUUUCCUACAGUUAAGUUAGUUCCCACGUUUUCAAACUUCUUUCACGGGUUAAGUUUUGUUUUUCCUGAGGGCAAGCAAAGGCUAAUUCUGGGAGUGUUGAUAUAUCAUGGUUUUUACGGUUUUUAACCAUGAUAUAAGUGGUUUUUCUUGGGUAUUUCUACACUUUUCAGGGUCUUUUGAGUCUUUUCAGAUUAGGAGCCAUUUGGUACGGAUUGGAGUAAUUAGGAGCUUUCAUGAGCAUAUGAGCUGAACAAUCAGAUCUGGAGACAAUUUCUGAAGUAGUGUCAAUCGAAACCACCUAUCAGUAUCGAUCAACACCGAGCAAAAUGACGCGAGAACUCGAGUUUUUCAAGUUUUGAAGAUUUACAAAGAUAACCAAAGUUCUACCAAAUUGCAACAUUGGUCCCUAACGUGUUUUAGCCAUAUUUAAGCACUUACGCUUCAUUUUAUUCAAACUAUCGAGAGCUUUUGGAGAAAGAGAUCAUAACUCCUUGUAGAGAGAAGAUUUUGAACUCCUUUGUUUUUCUUUUGAUUUUCUUAAUUCAUAUUAUUCAGUUCAUGAUGUUUGUCUCUUUGAUUUUGUUUGAGUAGUCCUUUUGUUAGGUUUAGGGAUUCUCACUAGGGAUUUCAUGACUUGUUAGGUAGAUUUGUUGGAUUAGGAUUCAUCAUCUUAAUGUUCUUCACCAUAGGUUGUACUAAUGUUAGUUCUAGAUUGAUCACCUAGAAUCUGGAUUUUAGGAUAAUUGGUUUGACAUGAAAGUGUAAUUGAUUACCUGAAAGACAUAUGGUGAGCAAAAUACUUAUUCGCAAAGAGAUUUGGUUUAGGUAUUUUGUGAACAAGUCAAACUUGAACUUUAAUGCUAGUUUAAUCCUUUAGAAUUUGCAACGAGAUUUGAACUUCUAGUUUUAGGCUUAGAUAAUCCUAGCAGCAAUAGCUAGUAGAUUUUACCUUUGUGUUUUGAGUUCAAGAACCGCGCUUAAUCUGAAUCCUAAUUUAUUAAAUUUAUUUAAUUUGAUUGAUUUGCCGAGAAUCCCUGAGCCAAGCUUUUCUUCCAUUGAAUUAAAACCUCUUUUUAAUAUUUCUUGCUAUUUUAGUUUAAAAACCAACUUUGUUUAGCUUAAUUUGAUACCAAAAUAUUUAUUGUGUAAACUUUGCGUCUAUGUGGAUUCGAUCCCUAAGUACUACAGUGCUCUCUUAAGUGAGGGUGUAGGUUAGGGAAAAUUUGAGCCGAUCAGUCGAGCAUGAGCAAAACGUUUCAGACGACUGGUCUAAACUCCUUGCUCCAAAGGUUGAGCUAAAAACUCUUCUAUUUGGGCUAAGGGACACAUUUCUUAGUCCUAAUUCUACUUAUCAUGUGAUUUUGAAUGCUAGUUUGAAUGAUGAGGAACUUGGAAUACAGGACUUAAGAAGUUUAGAAAAGCUAUAGGGUAUUCUAUAGUUGACAUUAAGGGGAUCUCACCUAGCUUAUGGAUGCAUAGGAUCAAUUUGGAGAACGAAUCUUAUACUAAUAUAGAACCGCAAAGGAGAUUGAAUCAUAAUCAAAAGAAGUAGUUAAAAAAGAGAUACUUAAACUGCUUGCUACUGUGGUUAUUUAUCAUAUCUCUUAUAAUACUUGAGUAUCCCCAGUUCAUUGUGUGCCUAACAAAAAAGGAAUUACUGUAAUAAAUAAUGAAAAAGACGAAUUGGUCUCCACUAGGAAAAUUACUGGACAUAAAAUGUGUAUUGAUUAUAGGAAAUUGAAUGCAACCUUUAGAAAAUGUCAUUUAAAACCUUCCAAAAUUACUGUUUAGAAUAAAUUACAUACCUCAUUUAGAUGAGUCUAUGUGUCAUUAGCUCAUGAAUUACUUUAAUCUCCCUCCACCUCAAAUGAAAAUAUUUCCUACACAUGGUAAAAUUAAUUAAAUCACUAUAAUCAUAUUAUUUGAUUUACGUAAAUAAGGCUUAGAUAAAAACCGUCAAUUUAGACCGAAUUAAAUUCAUAAAUAUUAGUACUUAUGGUAUAAAUAUAUUCUUAAAUAAUAUAUUUAGUAUCCUCCAAUAUCUGACUACCUUACCAACCAAAACUAAUUAUUAUCGUAUCUUAACCAUCAAUGUUUCCAGUAAGUAAAACCCGAUAACAUAAUCAACUUUAUAAAUAUUGUUACUAAACGACUCAAGAACCACAAACCCAAAAUCAUCGGCAAAGAACCAUAGCUUCUUACUAAUCAAAAUUGUUUCAAAGGUUAUGGCUAAAGGUCACAUAAUGAAAGCCUUCAAAAAUCCACCACCCUUGGCUUGGCUUGAUCUUAACAAAAACAAUCCUCAAGCUAGAGAACUUACUUUCCAAGAAUUUCCAGAAUUUUUUACUUUGAAAUCUAAAGAGAAAAACUUCAAGCCCAUACUGCUAACAAUCAAGAAAGGAAGGUUUCUUAUUUUUCAAGUAAGUUAGUUUGUGAUUUAAGUCUGAAACUACUCUUCAGGUUUCUUAAGGGGCUAACUACCGACCAAGAAUUGAGAGCCUUCAAUGGUGUGAUCUAUGAUUCAUACAAGGAAGCUUGUUUAGCAAGAACUUACUAGAAUAAUAAAGUUAUUAGAUCAAUGUUUUGCAAGUUUGUUUAUUAAUAUUUCAUUUUCAUUAAUCAUUUGUUAAAUUCCAGCAAUGUAUUGUUCCAAAGGAAACAACCAUUAAGUUUUUCAAUCCUACUAUAAAGUUUGCCCAAAAUUGGUAAUAUUGAGUACAUUCUAAAAUACAAAUCAUUUAAAAACUGUGUAAAAAUUACCAACUAAAGCUUAUAGGAUACUGACCUCAUAUAUACCCCUUGCAAAGUCUGUCAUCCUAAGGUGUGCAACUCAACUUCAAUUUGGUUUAAAGUCAAUUUCAAGCAUACCCAUGAAACUACCUAGAACGGAAAUAAACUUCAAACAUUUCAGUAAAUAAAUUCAACAAAAAUCAACUUCCAUAUUGUAAGACGAAUGUUUAAAAACCUAUGACAUUAAUACUUAUCUUCAAUAUUAACCAUAUAGACCUUGAUGUCUGUUUUCUAGUCAUCAAGAUCCUGAAGUACAACCAAAUACCGAUUUUUUUUUGGAGGUGGUUCCUUUAAAACACACUAGUUGGGGGUCCAUUUAUUCUUUUGGUAAAAUCGUUUGGAAAGUGUACUUAGCCCAUUUGGAAAGUGUAAAUUCAAAUCAUUUCUUACACAAUAUUUCAUUAAUCUACAAAUAUUAUUAGCCACUAUUACUGCAAAAUAUUAUUAAACCAUUCUCUAUUAUUUAAAAAACAAUAACUAUAAAAACCAGUUGAAGAUAGAAAAACAUUUACAUGUAAUACCAUACAACGUAUUACUUAGAAUAUGCUAAAAAUAUAUACUAAAACCUUAAAAUUUAAAAUAAAAUAUAUUCGUAUACAUACCCAUAAGAAUUUAAACUAUAUGGAUUAAUGAAUACAGACUAAUUACCCCCCCCCCCAAUUGCAACUUUUAAAUCACUAUUCUUUUUAACCAUGAAAAAUUAUCAACACAACCAAAAAAAUAUGUCCAUAGAAAAAUGUUUUCCCUCAAAAAAAAAUAAGGUUGGAACUUUUACCCCCGCUCUAGCUCAUGUAUGCAUCUAGCAUAUUCAUGGAUAUAUAUAUACUUCAAAUGAUACAUUGUUUAUGUUUGCAAUCAAAUACUAUGCUAAACAAACUUUGUUGGUUCUUUCCUGAUACCACCGUCCAAGCAAUAAGGUAAAUCUAAUUGUUAGGACCCCUUUCAACUGGUGUGAGCAGUAUUACUUGUAUAUUAUGUUCCUCUUCCUCAUGAACCCUAAGUAAAAAGAUAUAUAUAUAUAUAUAUAUUGCUUUAUAGAUUGUGAAAAGGGUAGAGUAGAAGAGUAUGUUUGUUAUGUAGAAAUUGAAUUGGACUGGGAUUGGAACUUUUCAAAUUUGGUUCGGUUUUAAAAAUAUAACGGUACCAGAAUCUAUAGUUAUGGUAUUCCACACAUAACCAAUGUUUUUUCAGAUAUGUGGUUAUGUGAUGUUAAUAGUUUAUGUAGCUAGCCAACAUUAAAAUUGUCUGCAUGUGUGAGCAUUUGUUCAUGUAUAGUCUGUGUAGCUGGCAAACAUUUUCUCAUUAAAAUAUAAAUUCGCAGUAGGAUAUUACAAACCAAAGAUUAAAUUCGUCAUCUCCGCAAAUGGUCAUCUCUGCAUUUUGUCAUCAAAGAUCAACUAAGCUCUUGUCCACUCUACAUCUGAUGGAAGCUUUAAUAGCUUGUAUCUAUCUUUGCAAGAUGAUGAAAUGCUCGUUUAUACAUAAUGACCCUUGAGAGCAUAGAUGAGUUGAUUUCCACUUAGUAGAUACAUCUAAAAGCCAGUCCACCUUUGAUUUCCACUUAGUAGAUACAUCAUUGUAGGGAGAAGAUUUUGAACUCCCUUGUUUCUCUAAUCUACAUCUUAAUUUAUAUUAUUCAGAUCAUGAUGCUUGUUUCUUUGAUUAUGUCUGAGUAGUUUCUUUGCUAGGUUAGGGAUUCUCAUUAGGGAUUUCACGACUUAUUAUGUAGAUUUGUUAGAUUAGAAUACAUAGUCUUAUUGUUCUUUAGCAAUAGGUUGUUCUUAAUGCUAGUUUUAGAUUGAUCACCUAAAAUCUAGAUAUUAGGAUAAUGUGAUUAAUUACCUGAAAGAACCUAGGGUAAGCAACAUAAUUAUUCGCAAAGAGAUUUGAUUUAGGGAUUUUGUGAAUAAAUCAAACUUGAAUUUUAAUACUAGUUUAAUCCUUUAGAAUUAGCAAAAACAUUUGAAAUUCUAGGUUUAGAAUUAGAUAAUCAUCGCAUCAAAAACUGGUAGAUUUUACCUUUCUGUUUCGAGUUCAAGAACCGCGCUUAAUUUGAAUCCUUAUUUAUUAAUCUAUUUAAUUUGAUUGAUUUCCUGAGAAUCCCUAAGUCUAGCUUUUCUUCAAUUGAAUUCAAACCUCUUUUUACAAUUGCUUUCUAUUUUAAUUUAAAAACCUACCUUGUUUAGCUUAAUUUGAUACCUAAAUAUUUAUUGUGUAAACUUUGAGUGUCUGUGGAUUCGAUCCUUAAGUACUAUAGUGAUCUCUUAAUUGAGAGAGAGUAACUCAGGGCAAAUUUGAGGCAAUCAUAAGCGCACAAAAAGAUAAAAUCUCUUCUUCCGCUUCCAUUCAUUGUCAAUGUAAUGUAUCUUCAAGCACAUUUACCCUUCUAUUGUCACAACUCUCCAGAGAUCCGCUGUUAAACAAAAUCUCCAUGGAAUCUCAUCUAAGACCUUCUUAAGCUUCAGUUUCUCUUUCUCAUAAAUCUUAAGACAAUGUAUUGCAGCUGUGCUUGUACUUUAAAACUCUAUAUUAAAAUUAGCAUAGAUAAAAUCCUCUCUUAUUCUUCAACAAAGAGAAAAGUAGAUCAUGCUCAAUUAUCGCCAAUCCUAUCAUUUUUUGGGACACCAUCAUAUCUAGAUUUCUAUUGCCACAUGACUGAAUGUUUCCACCGUAUUGGAGCACAUUUGCAUGUGAUGUAACAGAGUACUAGUGCCACUACUAUGCAGGUUUUCGCAAUAAACAUGGCCACAUUUGGUGCAUUCAACACUGUUCCUACUGCUACCAUCAAAUAACUUAUCUCCAACAAUUUGAAAAGUUUUCCAACACUUUGACCUUUUAUGUUCUUGUUCUGAGGUGCUACUGGAUCUACUUAUACAUGUUCCUCUUCAUCAAAAUUCAUAUCUUCAUCUAGCAUCUCAUCCCCACCGACAUUAUCAUCUUCAAGGUUGACGGUAUCCUCACGUAUUUCGUCAAUAUUUAGCAAAUAUUUACUAACAGACUUAACUUUUUCCCUUUUUCUCAAUCAUCUUGAAAUAUUGUCGUCUCCACCGUGAAAUCUAACUACAACUACUAACCUUAUUACUUGUUUCAAUUUCAUCUUUGGUCACUAAUUACCUAGAUGGGAGGUUUUGACAAUCAAACAGAUCAAACCAAAUUGAGUCUGAAACAAAUACAUCAACAACUAAUAAUUGGACCAAAAAUUUGUUGUGCCCCUUGACCAAAAUCUUUAUUUAACACUACCCUUCCAUGUUCUUAUUACUUUUUGACUUUACAUUGACUAAAAUAUCACAUUUUUAUCUUUUAAUAUUUUAUUCACUUAAAUAAAAAAAAACUAAAACAAAUCAGAAAAAUAAAAAUUAGUGGACCCCACCAACGUGUAUAAUCUUCUUCUUUCCUUUUUCCUCUCUCUCUUCCUCUCUCUCCCAAAAUUCUUCAUAAGCGACUUGAAAUUCUUCCUAACCAACGUAAUACCAUUGAAAUUUUUGUAUAUUUGUUCAUAGAAUCGAUCUAGGUCAAUUUAUAUUAAUAAAUGCAUGGAUAUUUACCUUUCAAUCGAACUAAAUCGUAAAAGAAAAUAAAUAUAAAAUUAGUGAUUUUAUGAAUGUAGUACAACUUAGUAAAAUUUGGUAUAACUAAGAUGGGUACAACCAGUAUUACUAGGUAUAACUACUACGAGUACAACUGGUACUACAUAAUAUUUUGAAUUUGGUACAAGUCGUACUAUACACAACAUCAAUUAUAGUGUGAGUGUCUAUUAUAUUUAAGAAUAUAAUGAAUAAUAUUUGUCAGAAUAUCAUAUUUAUGAUUAUGAAACAUAUUAUGUAAAAAGAACAAAUAAACUUAGUUGGAAAUCAUGAGAACUUAUUUUGUAUUAGUUAUACAAACUUAAUUGAGGAAAUUGCAAAGAUUUUUUUAUAAUAUUUACAAGAAGAAUAUAAGCUCUAUUAAGAAAUAUAAACAUGUUUUUAGUAGUGUUUAGUUUGUUUAUAACACUUAAUAAAAUGUAUUAUAUGGAUAUGAAUGAAGAUAAUUUCGAAGUUUUCAUGUCGAAGUCGUAAACUUGUUUAUAUGAUUUUUAAUUUGAUUUAUUAGUUUUCCUUACAAGUAUAAAAAUAUUAAAUAAGUAUAAAAUAUACCUAUAAAAUUAAUGAAAAUCGAAAAUAAGUAUAUAUUUGAAUUUUAUAAGCAUAUAUCAGAAAAAAAUAGAAUUUUUUUUUAAAAAACAUAAACAUGACAUUUGACUUUGAAUUUAUUUAUUGUAUCCAAUUUAGUAUAUAUAUAUAUAUAUAUAUAUAUAUAUAUAUAUAUAUAUAAUGAAGAAGAAUAAUUAUACUUCACUAUAGAUUUCUUCAUCAUAUUCUAAGUUUAUCAUGAAAUACCUUAUACAUUAAGGUUCACUUUAUCAUUGCAAACAACAUAUAAUUAGAAAAGUUAAGAUUUUAAUGUUUCAAAAAUAUUUAGGCAUGUACAUGUGAUAUUUGUACCUCAAUUGAUUAAAAUCAUCUGUACAACUAAAACUAUUUAGUUUAAACAUGGUAUAACUAAUUAUAACAAAAAAAUCAAAAAUGUAGAACUUGCCAAAACUAGUAUAACUUGAAAUUUUGGUACAACUAGUGAAUUUUGGCGGCUGCACAUGUGUCUUUUGGCGGCUAUACAUGGGAAUUUUGGUGGCUACACGUGUGUAACGUGGAUGACGUGUUUGUUGUUUUGGUCCUUUCUUUUUUUUCCUAUACUUUUCAAAAUUCAAAUUACCAAAAAAAAUUGAAAGGGGGGGGGGGGAUCGGGUUACCUAGGUAGGGUUUACUAGAGUUGGAUUUUAUUCUCUUUUCUUCUCCUUCUUCGUUUUGGGUUUGCAAUUUGCGAUUUGGUCUUCUUUCAGGAUUUGCAAUUUGUGAGUUACCACUGAAAUUCUGUGAUUUCUAGAGAAUGAGCUACGAAUAUGGAGCAUUGGGGAUUUUAUGUGUAUACUCGUUUAUGUGAUUGUCUUCUUAUGAUAUGGCUGGGAAUAUUGUACAACUAAGUAUAACUUGUUCUUCGUAAUGGUACAACUAAGUAUAACUUGUUCUUCGUAAUUGUACAACUAUGUAUAACUUUUUCUUAUCGUACGAUAUGAUUGUAAUUUUCCCUAUUGGCUUAACUUUGUUGGCAAUUUGAAGUUAAUUCGUGUAUUUGGAUUGUAUUGUAUUGUUGUAAAUCUUGUAUUUUGUAAUAGUACAACUCGUAAUUAGUUAUACCAAGUUGAUCUUUUCAAUGCAGUUAUCGCUCCCUUCUUCUUGCUUAUGAUCUUCACCCUUUUACCUUGGUGAACAUCAACAACUUCUUCUCUUUCCCUCUUUUCUCCUUUCUCCUUAGCUUGUUCUUUCUCGCCAUGUUCCAUCUCAGCAUCUUCCUCUCGGCCUUCUUCCGUUGUCCCAAGUUGUUCUUUCUCUUCUUCAACUGUACCAAGUUGUUCUUUCUCUUCUUCAACUGUACCAAGUUGUUCUGUCUCUUCAUCAGUUGUACCAAGUUGUGCUUUCUCUUCAUCAACCUUCUCCUUCUCGGUCUCGGGUUUCUCAGACUUUUCCUUCUCAGUUUGUUCCUUCUCAGCAUGCUCCUUGUCAGACUUAUCCCUCUCAACCUUAUCAGCUUGCUCCUUGUCAGCCAUAUCCUUCUCGGCCUUAUCCCUCUCAGCCUUAUCAGCCUUCUCCUUGUCAGCCUUAUCCUUAUCGGCCUUAGCCCGCUCAGCCUUCUCGGCCUUAGCCCGCUCAGCCUUCUCGGCCUUAGCCUUUUUGGCCUUACCCCUCUCAGCCUUCUCGGUCUUAGCCGCCUUAGCCCUCUCAGCCUUCUCAGCCUUAGCCCUCUCAGCCUGCUCCUUCUCACCAUGCUCCCUCUCAGCUUGCUCUUUCUCAGCCUGCUCCCUCUCAGCCUGCUCCCUCUCAACCUUAUCCUUCUCAGCCUGCUCCAUCUCAGCUUGCUCCUUGUCACCUUCAUUCAUAUCUCCAUUGUCACAUUCAUUCAUACCUUCAUUCGUAUCUCCAACACCUUCAUUCGUAUAAUAUUCAUCUUCACCUGAGGCCCAUCUCACAUAUGAUUCCACAUAUUUAACUCUGUUAUCCAGAUUAUCAACCUUCUCAAUAAUUUCCUUAAACCCUUGCUUCACUUGUUCUUCUACAUGAACCAAUCUAGCUCCUAGCUGAGCCAAAUUCACCGGAGCCAUUGGGUUCACAUCUUCCAGACUUACAUUUUCCAGAAUCACAUUUUCCAGAUUCACAUCUUCCGGAUUCACAUCUUCCGGAUUUGUCUCCCGGGUGGCCAAAUCUUGGUUGUAAAGCUCUUCAAACCAUAUUGACUUCUCUUCAUCAAUUAAACAAUUGGUCCAACCAUCAACAACGGGAUCAUCUACAUCAUUAUAGUGACUCUCUUCAUCCAUGAUACGACCUAAAAGACGUUUCUCACGUGAUGAUGGAGUCAAAAUACUUUCAAUAUCCUAUGAAAUAAAAAAAAUAUAAUGUCAAACCAACCCAGUAAUACCAAAAAUAAAUGAAUAGGAUAAGUAUGGGACUAUUGCUAACCUUGGUUGUACCAAGUUUGUCAUAAAUUUCCUUCAAUGAAAACCCUUUCAUUUUACUUGCUUUAAAUUUCAUCUUGCACAUCCGAGGACAUUGAUGGUGUGCAUGUGCAUUACUAACACCUUCUCGGAAAUUUUCCUUAAGAACAGGAAUUGCCUCAAAAGCAAGAACCUACACACAACACAAAAUCGUGGACUUAAAACUCAAUUAUACCAAGUUAUACUAAGUUGUACAUUUUCAUAAUUCAAGAAUUACCUCCAACGGAAUGACGAAACUAGGAAAGACCCAUUGGUUUGUGCUCAAAACUCCACCAAAGUGGUUCAUACAAUGAAAGAUGUCCUUCAUGUUCUCAUCAAAAGCCAAACGACCCCAAGGGAACGUUUUACACAUGUCCAAAUCAUCAAUAGCCCUAAGAAAGAAUGGCUCUACGGAUGGUGCUUGCUUCCCUGGCUUCUUCUUCCCUAUGAUCACACUACACAAGAAGUAGAGGACCGCCAUCUUCACUCGAUCUGGAGAAGCUCUCUUCAUCGAUAAAAGUUUUGCUUGGACAUCAUCAUAUCUUAUUGUUGUGCCAACACCAAAAUGCUUACCAACAAACUCAUUACUGCCCAUAGUUUCCAUGUCCCGGGGAUACGCAUGGCAGUAUAAGCCAGAAAUCAGUGCCAUUUCUUUGAGAGAAUAUCUGAUGGGAGUACCAUUUACUAUGAACCAACAUUCAUUUUUCUUCUCUAAAGAUGCCGUCUGGAGAAGCAACAUCCACAUACCCAUCAAUUUGUGAUUGGCAUCAUUCGUCAUAUGGAAGAAAUUUUUGAACUGUGGGUGUCCUAGGAACCAGUCCAACUCAUGGGACUUAAGGUGAGUUCUCAAGAAGUCCAUUGUCCUUGUGAUAUAACACUUAGCAGAUAGCUUGAAUGGCUUCAUGUACUCGGACAUAUUGAAGUACAUGUUCAGCGGUUGCAUUACUUCUGUUCCCUCAUCGGAUUCCUCCUCGGACUCCUGCAAAACAACAUAGUUAUACUAAGUUUUCCCAAGUUGUACCUUUUGAAUUUCGAAUUGAAAUAAACUAGUUAUACUAAGUUCUCCUAAGUUGUACCUUUUCAAUUUCUUAGUAAAAAAACGAGUUCGCACAAGUUGUACUAUUCUAUCCAAGUUGUACAUACCGUUGAAUCCCCAUAAUCUGAUUCUGGAUUUGACUCAUCUCGAGGAGUCUCAUCUUCUUCUACGAUUGCAUCUGUUGGAUUUUCGACUUCACCUACUAGAUCUGUUUCUUUGUUAAAGCUUGCAUUCUUUGUACGCACCAUUCUUCUCUUCUCCUUCACACAAAACCAACAACCGCUAAUUACAACAUACUCGAGUAAUAAACGAAAUCAACACCUAAAUCGACAAAACCUAAAACGAGAACACCUAAAUUGAUAACAUUCAAUCGGAUCUAACUUAAAAUACCCAAAGAAUUAAAGAUUAUGACUUACCCUACCUCGGGUUGUCCUUAGUUAUACUCGAACUCUUUGUGAUUUUCAGUUUUUUCAAAACACUUAGGGUUUGGGGAACUUUUGAUUUUUCAAAACGAUGAAGAGGAAGACAAAGAGGUAAAGGAUCCGAUGGAUAUCCGAUAGUGAUAUGGGUUUUCGGAUAUAGGCUGGUUGGAUCUGUAAUUGUUUUAUUCUAGUGAGGAUAAGUUUGUAUUUUAACCAAUUUUCGAUUUUUUUAAUUAAUUUUUUUUUCCCUUUGGUCAAACGCUUAGAAGAAUAGAAGAACUAGUCAAAGGGUACAAGAGAUUUUAGUCCCUAAUAAUUAGACAAGUUUAACAAGGGCAUUAGGGAAAGGAUACUUACCUGACAAGAUUGAUUCAUGAAGAGUCAUAUCUGAAAUCUGCACAACCGAUAAAAAGUUUAAAAGCUAAAUAAACAACAAGUGAAUAAGUGUUUACUUACCUCUUUAUUGGUCUCUUCUUUACUCUCAACCUCAUGAAAUAGAUCUAAUCCCAGUUUCAUCAAUCUUGAGAUUCAUCUUGUGCUUCACUUUUUCAGCAGCUAUUUGUUGAAAAAAUAACAUAAUCAACCAUUACAAUAUCAAAGGACAUAUACAAAAAAAUACAAAACCUAAAUCCAUAAACAAAGAAAGCACUCACCAAGAAUUUUAUAUCUCAAUUUUGAGAACACACUAGUUACAAGUUUUUUUAGAAAAGAGUCAAUCAAACAAUGAAUCAAAAGAGAGAGAACAAAAUCGGACUAGACAUAAACCCAAACACUCAUCCACAAAAAAAUCAGCAGUCACACUAGAUUCUAUAGUAAUUUAACAACAAAACCCACAAAAGUUUUUCAUCAUUCACAAGAAAUUGGAAAACGGCUUUUUCAUACUUCUUACAAGUGUUGAAUUCAUACAUUGAACUAUGCGUUGUUCAUUAACAUACAUAAACUCUUUCUUAAUUUGAAUUUGAAGCCUGAUGUUUCAAUUUUGUGCUAUAACCUUCAAAAACGUGUUAAAUGCUUAACACAGUUAACUUGUCCGUUAGUGUGUGCUUAGCUGAAGUCGACGUGUGCUGAUGUGGCAUGAACGACUGAGUAGAGAACGAAACGACGACGUUUUGUGUGUUGAUAUUAAACAAAAAGCAGAAUCAAAACAAUGUCGUUUUGUAUUCUAACUCAAACUUCUUCCUUUCUCUCUCGAUUCUCUCUGCCGCGAUUUGGGGGAUUUCAAAAGAAGAACCCUUGAAUUUGGGGGAUUUCUAUUUGGGUUAAAUCGAACUGUAAUAGCAAUGAUUCCUGGUGUUGAAGAUGAUUUGGAAGCAGAAGAAAGUGAUUCGAGGAGGUAAUUUGUUGAUUUCAGAAUUCGAAUCGAUUUUGGGUUUUUAUUAUUGAUUGUUAGUUGCGAAAUUGGGUUCGAAACUGGGUUCUUUGAUUUCGUUACUAAGUUUCUAGUUGAUAAUUGUAUAAAAUUCUGAGAAGUUUUUUUUUUUUUUUAUUUUCAGCUCUGAUGAUGUUACUUUGCAAAUUUACUACAAUGGAAAGUUUGUUGUGUUAGAGCAACUAUAUCGGCAUACCCGAUCGGAUGCUGGGCCAAUAUUUUAAGGCCUUAAACUCCGAACAGUACAAAUUUAAGAGGCAUCCGGAUGCUGGGCAAGAGCUUUUUCGGCCCGAGUCUUAUGCCACGUGCCACUUUUCCAUUGGGUGAUUUUUUGGGUAAAGAAAACAAUUUCGUAUUGUGUUGAAAAAACAAAAAUCCCAAAUCGACUCUUUCUUUGUCGAACCCUAGAUCGCGAAAACGACGGCGAUAUCAUCUUCUUCUCCGUCUCGUCUCACCCUCUUCGCCAUCUCGGCUCACGGUCUCUCCUUCCCCUCCGUCUCUCCUUCCCCUCUGUGUCUCCUUUCCCUCAGAUAUUGAAAUCUAUUUCUCACCGAAACCCUAGUAUAGCGAUCUCGCCUUCUUCUCCGUCUCAAAUCCAGAAAUCUCUUUCUGUCCGGAACCCUUGUUUUCCCAUCACGUCUUCUGCUCCGUCUCAUCUCAGUGGGUUCUCCGAGUCGUCUCAAUCCUCCUUCACUGUGUCGUGACUGGUGUGUCUCCUUCCCCAAAUGAUUGGACAAAGGUACAUGCAUUAGUCUUGUGUUCUUCUUAUUCUUUUGUGAAGUUUGUUAAUGAUUAGUAGGGUCUUAUGGCCAAGGAUUAGUCGACUUCGUUUAAUGAUCUGGGUUUUAUCCUUUCGUUUUUAGUUAAAACUGGAGUGUCCUAGUCAUCUCAAUCCUCCUUCACUGUGUCGUGACUGGUGUGUCUCCUUCCCCAUAUGAUUGGACAAAGGUACAUUGAUAUAUCAUGGUUUUACGGGUUUUUGGUCAUGAUAUAAGUCUUAUUUAUAGAGCUUUUCUAGUGUUUUCGAGUCUUUUUGAGUCAUUUCAGGAUUAGGAACUAUUUGGCAUGGAUUGGAGCUUUUUGGAGCAUUUGGGAGCAUUUGGAGAAGAUGUGUCGAAGGAAUGUACCGGGAAAGCAUAUUUGAUGUGGGUGUCGAGCGUCACAACUUCUGGUGUCGAUCGACACCAAUAUCUGACGGCAAUUGAAUUUCUCGCUUAAUUGAAGUUCAGAAGAUUUGCAGAUUCGGCCCAGAAGUUUCCCUUAUUUGCAAUUAAGCCCAGUUCGUGGUUAAGACAUAUAUAUUGAGUUUUUAGGGUUUUGUUAAGACUUAAGCUUUAUUUUGGAGAGAGAGAUUUGUAGAGAGUCAGGAGAGAAGAAUCAAAACCUCCUUCAGAGAAGAUUCAGAACUCCUUUACUUUUUCUAUUACUUUCUUUUAUGAUAUCUAUUUUAUUCAUGAUGUUUGUUUCAUUCACCAUGUCUGAGUAGAUCUCUUGUUAGGUUUAGGGUUUUCAAAGGAAUUCAUAAAUUGUUAGGUUGUUAGAUUGUUAGGAUUUAAUCAAUAGAGUUCUUCAUCUAGAUUGUGGUUAAUUUGUUCUAGAGUAGUGAAAGCAACCUAGAAUCUGAUCUUAGGUUAAUUGGUAGACACGAAAGUGUUAUUGAUUUCCUGAAAAUAAUCUAGAUGAGCAGAAUACCUAUUCGCAAAGAGAUUUGGUUUAGGGAUUUUGUGAACUUAUCAAACCUGAAUUAAAUGCAUGUCUUAAACUUAUAAAUUUGCAAAGAGAUUUGGAAUUUAGGGUUCUAGACAUAGGUAGUCUUUGCAACGAAAGUUGAUUGAUUAUAUUUUUGUGAUUUGAGUUCAAGAACGGUGCUUUAUAAAUCCUGACAAUUAUUUAUUUGCAAUUCUGAAUUUCCUGAGAAUAUCCCUAGGCCUAGUGUUUCCUCAUUACUGUUUAAAAACCAAUCUUUAUUUUAAUUUGCUGUUUUUAUUUGAUUUAAAACCUGCUUGCUUAGCUUAAUUUUAAUACCGAAUAUUUACUGUGUAAUCUUUGAGUCUCUGUGGAUUCGAUCCCUAAGUACUACAGUGAUCUCUUAAUUGAGAGAGUAGCUCAGGGCAAAUUUGAGCAGAUCAAAUUUUGGCGCCGCUGCCGGGGACUCAANNNNNNNNNNNNNNNNNNNNNNNNNNNNNNNNNNNNNNNNNNNNNNNNNNNNNNNNNNNNNNNNNNNNNNNNNNNNNNNNNNNNNNNNNNNNNNNNNNNNGUUUAGUCUAAGUUUUUAAUUUUAUUUUGUUACUUACGUUUUUCUUUUCUCUUUUCUUUUCGGUGUUUCAGGUUUAUGCCUAAUACCAUAAGCCAGCAGAACAAAGAGUUAGUUGAUCUCAACAAUUCAGAAAUAGCGGGUUUAGAAAGAGGAAUUCGAAAAGCUAAGAAAAGGGCAGCAAUGGCACCACCAGUGAUUCUAAUUCAAGAUGCUGAGGGUACUCUCAGAGAUGGAGAUGGCCAUGUGAGGAAUUCACAAGGGCAGAAGCUGAAUGCUGACGGGACUGUAAUUCCUGAACCAGUCGCCGAUGGUGUCGAGCGACAUCAGGCGGGUGUCGAUCGACACCAAGCCGCAGCUGACAAUGCACAGUUCGCGUUGAAUGCUGAAGCAGAGGAUGAGAACCGUACACUUGGAGAAUACAACAUGCCUGCUCUGUUCUAUUCUAACCGCUCUGCUAUAUGUCCUCCUCCAUUUCAAAGGAACAACUUUGAGUUGAAGCCUGGAUACUACACUCUUGUAGGACAACACCCGUUCCAUGGCCAUACUUAUGAGCAUCCAAUGGAUCAUAUUGAGAAGUUUGAGGAUCUGGUAUCUAGCAUCAAGGCUGAUGGUGUAUCUUCGGAUUUUCUGCUCUGCAAGCUUUUCCAGCACUAUUUAGCUGGAGAAGCACUAUAUUGGCUGAAGGAGUUGAAGCCUGGAUCUCUUACGUGCUGGAAGGAUGUAAAAGUUGAGUUCUUAAACAACUUUUAUGAUGAUGCGAGAUCAGAGGAGUUGCGUAAAAUGAUUUCUACCUUUUCUCAAGGGAUCUCAGAGGCUUUCAAGGCUUCUUGGGUGCGUUUUAAGGGUUAUCAGAGAGAUUGUCCACACCAUGGUUAUGACAAAUUUCAGCUGUUGGGAAUCUUUUAUAGAGGAUUGGAUUGGAGAUAUCAGAUGGCUUUAGAUGCUGCAAGUAACGGUAACUACAACACAAGGUCUCCAGCUCAAGCCACCAAACUGAUUGAGAACAUAGCUUCCAGCAACAGUACUAAAGUCGCUGAUUUUGAGAGGAAGAAGCUAGCUCAAAACAUGGAUGGUGUUCAACUCGCUGACGUUAAGGCAAAGCUUGAUUCAGUGCAUAACCUUCUUGUUACUAAGAAGAGUGUUAAGGUUGCUGCUGAGGUUGAGGCUUUUGAAUCAUAUGAGGAUGAAAAAGAAGACGUGAACUACGUCAAUGGUGCUGGGUAUCAAGGUCAGAAGUUUGGUAACACACAGGGUAACCGAUACAACAAUGGGUAUGGUUAGAAAGGCAGCAGCAGUUUCGUCAGCACCUAUGGAAAUUCUUCUUACCACUCACCUCCCUCUCCAUCUACAGAUACUGAGAUGAAGUCCAUGCUAGAACAGAUUUUAGCGGGUCAGAAGAACAUGAAAGUGGAUUUCAACGGGAAGAUGGAUGCCAUGUACACUGACUUGAAUGGCAAAAUCGAAGCUCUGAGCACUUAUACCAAUAAGUUAGAAACUCUUGCUACACGGACUACUGGAUCUGUGAAAAAACGAGAAGGGUGUAAUGCCAUUUUGAUUAGAGAUGGAGAUAAUGUGUGGGAGGAGGAAACAAGUGACGAUGAUGAAACCGCACUUGCACAGCAGGUGUCGCUCGACACCAUCUCAAGGUGUCGAUCGACACCAACAUCAGUUCUCAGGAAUUUGGUCCCCGACGGACCGCAAUCGACACUAAGGUAGCGACAGCAGAACCCUGUAUCGAUCGACACCUACCCUGUGUCGAUCGACAUCCCGCUCAGACAAACCCAAAUUCUCUUGAAACUCUGUGACUAUCUAAAGAAAAUAUCUACAAGCCUAAGGUUCCUUUUCCAAAGCCUAGGAAGUCUAAACAGGAGAUAGAGGAAUCUCGAUGCGAGGCAAUGAUGGAAAAGGUGAUCAAUGAGAUUCAUUUAGAUCAUGCAGAUCGUGAUUCACCUAUGCUUAAACGGUGUGUUAAGAGGAUGGUCCAAAAUGAGGUGAGCCCUGAGGAAGGAGCUUUGCUGGCUAGAGACAUGGGUGCUAUCUUCUUGAAGCAGACCCCGCAGAGUAAGAAAGAGAAGAAGAAGAAGAAAGUGUUUGUUUCUGAAAAAGUUAGUGCCAUGAUUCAGAGCAAGAUUCCAGAGAAGUUACCUGAUCCAGGAAGUUUCGUGCUAGACUGCUCUAUCUUCACAGAGAGAUUUCCUCACUCUCUUUGUGAUCUUGGCUCAGGUAUCAACUUGAUACCAUACUCUGUUGCUGUGAGACUUGGGUUGACAGAUUUCAAGCCUACUAGGAUCUCUCUUAUCCUAGCUGAUAGGUCUAAAAGAAUUCCCGAAAGUCUUUUAGAGGAUGUUCUAAUAAGGAUUGGUGAAUGCAUAAUUCCUACAGACUUUGUGGUUUUGAAGUAUAGCGAAGAACCUCAGGAUCCUCUUAUCCUUGGGAGAUCUUUCUUGGCUACCGCUGGUGCUCUUAUAGAUGUUCAGAAAGGAACGAUUGGACUGCAUGUGGGUGACUUGGUUAUGAACUUUGACAUGGACAAGUUAAGGAGAGCACGUACUAUUGAUGGCCAGACUUUUUCUCUAGAGGAAGCCAUGGAUGACGUGGCAGUCAUAGAGUAUUCAGAAGAUAUUACUGCUAGGGACCAAAGCGAGGGUCUAGUUACUGCUAAGUUAUUGAAAGAUGAUGUUUUUGUGCUAGAGAUGAGGAUCGCUGAGACAAAUUGCAGAAAAAAUGCUGAAACACAAGCAUCAGGCUCAGUGUCGAGCGACACCACCAUGGUGUCGAUCGACGCCCCUCGCCACGACAGUCCGAACUUGCCAAAAAUGGAUGGUUUUCGGGUUGAUCUUACUACUGCAAGCUUGAGCCCUGUCCUGAAUCAGAAAGCUUCACCACCCAUACACCAGAGACCUCGAGAAAAGCAAAGGUACGCAACUUCUUUACCCAAACCUUCUCAUAUCAUCAAUAAGAAUUCCAAAGGUACAAAGACUGUUUUGCAGUUAACCAAGCCACGAGAUUAUCGUAGAGCGCUUGUUGGUUCUUUUGAUGAUGUUGCAGGUAGAAGAAGUGUCCCACCCAUACCUAGACUAUGCCCUGCUGUUGUUCCUCGUGUACUUGGUCGAUCUCCUACACCUAAUGCUUAUAAACCACCUUUGAUGAUGAGGCACUAUUCUCGGAGGCAUUUACUGCCGCUUCCCGACCCACCGGAUGCAUGAACCCCGACAAAGUCAAGCUAAUGACUGAAAACAAGCGCUUAGUGGGAGGCAACCCACUUGUGAGUUUUUUUUUUUCUUUUCUAUUUCUUUUGCAUUUAUUUUAGUUUUAUUUUCUUUUAUUUGCCAAUCUUAGGCUUGGCAACACUAGGGACAGUGUUGUUUAAGUCUGGGGGAGGUAGUUCCUAACAUUGUUUAUUCUUUUGGAGUUUUAUCGAGUCAGUCCAAAUUUUUAUUUUUAUUUUUUGUGUUUUAUUGAGUCAAAAUUUUUGUUGGGAACUAUGAACUCAGUCUAACGGUUUCUCUGAUUUGGAUUAACACUCUUAUGACUCUUGAUUAUGCUUGAUCUCAGAACCGAAGUUUGGAAUGACUAUGAGCUGUAUCAACAAGCCUGAAAGUCCUUAUUCAUUGGAUAUCCAGUUGAUCUAACAUUGUCUCUACUUUUAUCAGGACUUAAUUGGACAUAGUCUCUUACCUUGGGAGUUGGAAUACAUUGGACUAGACUUCUUUUUCGAGCCGCACAAGACACUGCACUUUUUCAAAGUAUGAUUCCUUCCUUCUCUCUUCCCUUCAGCCUUUAAAAGAAACUGCGGAAAAGGCUAUAGGUAGAAGUGAUAUGAGGGAUGUCGCGUAAACCCGUGCAUACUUCGGAUCUCAUGGAUACCCGAAUAAAAAGAGUUAUCAAAAAAAAAAAAAAAAAAACAGAAAAGAAAGAAAAAAAAGAAGAGGAAAAAGGAAUCGUUGAAAAAAUAAAAUGAUACUCUAGAAAAGUAGGGAGAUGUCGAUUACCUUAGAAGUGAGAAAAGGGAGAAGAAGUGAAAUCAUACGAAGAAUGUCUUGGUUCGAGAAGAGUCCAUAUGCCAUUGAUCGAUAUUCCCUCGGUAAGAAUUCAUCUUUACUUGUUUUAAAUUAUGUAAAGAGAUGACAAUGGAGAGACAUGAGAUUCCUGAGGAUUGUGGGAUUAGAGUAAGGAAUGUUGAUGCUUCUCAUAGGCAAAGUACAUAAAGUAAGUUCUAGAGUCAAGGCGAUGAAGAGUGCAAAGCAGAGUUUCCUACAGUUGAGU